AUUGAACGCUGGCGGCAUGCUUAACACAUGCAAGUUGAACGGCAGCAUGACCUAGCUUGCUAGGUUGAUGGCGAGUAGCGAACGGGUGAGUAACGCGUAGGAAUAUGCCUUUUAGUUUGGGAUAACUUGUGGAAACGCAAGCUAAUACCGGAUAAAACUCUAUGGAGGAAAGCUGGGGGACCUUAUGGCCUGGCGCUAGAAGAUUAGCCUGCGUCCGAUUAGCUAGUUGGUGGGGUAAAUGCCUACCAAGGCGACGAUCGGUAGCUGUUCUGAGAGGAAGAUCAGCCACACUGGGACUGAGACACGGCCCAG
rnacentral:rRNA from 1 species